rnacentral:rRNA from 1 species
GGCGGACGGUGAGUACGCGUGAGUAACCUGCCUUACACAGGGGAUAGCAGCUGGAAACGGCUGGUAAUACCGCAUAAGACCACGGUGCCGCAAGGCACAGGGGUAAAAGAUUUAUCGGUGUGAGAUGGAUCCGCGUCUGAUUAGCCAGUUGGCGGGUAACGGCCACCAAAGCGACGAUCAGUAGCCGGCCUGAGAGGGUGAACGGCCACAUUGGGACUGAGACACGGCCCAAACUCCUACGGGAGGCAGCAGUGGGGAAUAUUGCACAAUGGGCGCAAGCCUGAUGCAGCAACGCCCGCGUGAGUGAAGAAGUAUUUCGGUAUGUAAAGCUCUAUCGGCAGGGAAGAAAGGCCCGCAAGGGAGAUGACGGUACCUGACUAAGAAGCCCCGGCUAACUACGUGCCAGCCGCCGC